GACGAACGCUGGCGGCGUGCUUAACACAUGCAAGUCGAACGGAAAGGCCCUGCUUUUGUGGGGUGCUCGAGUGGCGAACGGGUGAGUAACACGUGAGUAACCUGCCCUUGACUUUGGGAUAACUUCAGGAAACUGGGGCUAAUACCGGAUAGGAGCUCCUGCUGCAUGGUGGGGGUUGGAAAGUUUCGGCGGUUGGGGAUGGACUCGCGGCUUAUCAGCUUGUUGGUGGGGUAGUGGCUUACCAAGGCUUUGACGGGUAGCCGGCCUGAGAGGGUGACCGGCCACAUUGGGACUGAGAUACGGCCCAGACUCCUACGGAGGGCAGAAGUGGGGAAUAUUGCACAAUGGGCGGAAGCCUGAUGCAGCAACGCCGCGUGCGGGAUGACGGCCUUCGGGUUGUAAACCGCUUUCGCCUGUGACGAAGCGUGAGUGACGGUAAUGGGUAAAGAAGCACCGGCUAACUACGUG
rnacentral:rRNA from 1 species